rnacentral:rRNA from 1 species
CACGUAGGGCGCAAGCGUUGUCCGGAAUUAUUGGGCGUAAAGAGCUCGUAGGCGGUCUGUUGCGUCCGCUGUGAAAACCCAGGGCUUAACCCUGGGCUGGCAGUGGAUACGGACAGACUAGAGGUAGGUAGGGGAGAAUGGAAUUCCCGGUGUAGCGGUGAAAUGCGCAGAUAUCGGGAGGAACACCGGUGGCGAAGGCGGUUCUCUGGGCCUUACCUGACGCUGAGGAGCGAAAGCGUGGGGAGCGAA